AAGUUCUUUUAAGUUUGUAUAAAUUUCUCUAUUGGAAGCCAGAAGCUGGCGUUCAGCUUCCCAAAAAAAGCGCGUGAUUAAGCCGAGAAAACUCAGGAUUUAAAGCGAUUUUUAUUCAACUGUUCGCAUCUCUAGAGUCGACUGGUUUUCAAUCGUGGUCAAAAUUUCAAGCUGCUGCGUUCCGUUGAUUGGAAGAUGCGAUUUUUUAAAAGAGAGUGAGUUGAGCUCAACAACAUUUUGAGAUUGAUAUUUCCUGGGCUGACAAAAUUCAGAAUUGCGAUUUUCUUAAACAUGGAAAAUCUUUGGAAUCAAGUCUUUUUUAUUGGUGGGCAAAAUUUCAAGCAACUGUAAGAGUGAGUUGAACACUGAGGCAAACACAUCGGACACAUUUUCAAGCCGACAUUUUUUACGGUUGCAAAUCUCAGGAUUGGAAGCAAUUUUUGUUUAAAUUCAAGUCUCUUUUACUGAUGGUCAAAAUGUAAUGCUCAAAUGCGCUUCACAUUUGAAGAUAUGAAGGACAGAGUGAGUUGAACACUUGAACACAUUGGACCCAUUUUGAGAUCCAUAUUUUUUUCACUCGCAAAUUUCAGAAAUUUACGCACUUUUUAUCAAACGUUCAUCGUCUUUACAGUCGAGUAUCUGAGUUUCUGGUCGAAAAUUCUCGCUUUUGCGUCUUUUCGAUUGGAAGAUGCCAAUUUUCAAAGGAGUGAAUUGAGUACUUGAGCGAACAGAUUCAUUUUGAAACCGGUAUUGAUUAAGCUAGCAAAAUUCAGCAUUUUAAGCGAUUCCUAUGAAACUUCCAGGACCUUUAGUUUCAAGCUUCUUGCAUAGAUGGUCAAAAUUUUGUGGUGUUAGGCGCAUUGCGUUGGAAGAUAAGAAUUUUUAAAAACGAAAGUGAAUUGAGUACUUGACCAAACAAAUCGAACACAUUUUGAGAUCGACAUUUUCUAAGCUGGCAAAACUCAAAACUAUUUGAAAAUACGAAUUUUCAAAGGACAGUGUGAGUUGAGCAGUGCAGCAAACACAUCGAUUUUAAGACCAUUACUUUCUAGUCUGACAAAACUCGAGUGUUUCAAAGGAUUUUUAUUGAACUUUCAUUUUUAUGAAACUUUCAGCAUCUUUAGAGUAAACUCACGCUAAAAUUUGGAGACAAUUUCAAAUUGAUGCUGGUAUUGCUUUGAAACAUGUGAAU